rnacentral:rRNA from 1 species
ACCUGAUGCAGCGACGCCGCGUGAGCGAUGAAGCCCCUCGGGGUGUAAAGCUCUUUCGGCAGGGAAGAUUAUGACGGUACCUGCAGAAGAAGCUGCGGCUAACUACGUGCCAGCAGCCGCGGUAAUACGUAGGCAGCAAGCGUUGUUCGGAAUUACUGGGCGUAAAGGGUGUGUAGGCGGUUGCCUAAGUUUGGUGUGAAAUCUCCCGGCUCAACCGGGAGGGUGCGCCGAAAACUGGGUGGCUAGAGUGUGGGAUGGGUAAGUGGAAUUCCUGGUGUAGCGGUGAAAUGCGUAGAUAUCAGGAGGAACACCUGUGGUGUAGACGGCUUUCUGGACCAUUACUGACGCUGAGACACGAAAGCGUGGGUAGCAAACAGGAUUAGAUACCCUGGUAGUCAA